rnacentral:misc_RNA from 1 species
GUAGGUGAACCUGCGGAAGGAUCAUUAACACUUUUCAUCCCUAAUUCCUGGCCAUUAAGUGUGCUGCUGCCUUCACGGGUUUUGCGCUGCUUUUGGUUAGGUACCAACCCCUUUGUGUGCACUUGUUGAGAGGAAAAAUGAUGCGUGGAGUUUUUCUCGUUCUAAAACAACGUUUGAUUCUCUUCAAGUCUUACCUUUUUCUCUUGUUUUUUUUCUCAUUUUUACCAAUUUUUUACCCCUUUUCUAAUGCUAUAGACUGAAAUAAUAACCUUUUUGGAAGGGUUUAAAACAUCCAAAAGAGUAAUACAACUCUUAGCAACGGAUAUCUAGGCUCUC